GUGAGGAAUUUUCCGCAAUGGGCGAAAGCCUGACGGAGCAAUGCCGCGUGAAGGAUGAAGGCCUAUGGGUUGUAAACUUCUUUUCUCAGAAAAGAAUUAUGACGGUAUCUGAGGAAUAAGCAUCGGCUAACUCUGUGCCAGCAGCCGCGGUAAGACAGAGGAUGCAAGCGUUAUCCGGAAUGAUUGGGCGUAAAGCGUCUGUAGGUUGUUUAAAAAGUAUUCUGUCAAAGAUUAGUGCUUAACCCUAGAUAGGCAGAAUAAACUUUUAAGCUAGAGUUUGGUAGAGGCAGAGGGAAUUCCCGGUGGAGCGGUGAAAUGCGUAGAUAUCGGGAGGAACACCAAAGGCGAAGGCACUCUGCUGGGCCAAUACUAACACUCAGAGACGAAAGCGAGGGGAGCAAAUGGGAUUAGAUACCCCUGUAGUCC
rnacentral:rRNA from 1 species